rnacentral:lncRNA from 1 species
UUAAGUACUAUUUGUCAACGUAUAAACACAUGUUCAGUCCAAACUUACGAUAUCAAAGAUUGAAUUUAACCCGGAUUUUUUAGCGAAACCAUUUGAAAUCAUUGAUUUUAAAGGUGUGUAGUUCUGUUCUGUCAUUCUCUAUUCAUAACUUGUGUUUACACGAAUCUUCAAACUGUGCAUAUUUAUGUGGGUUUCAUUGGUGAACCAGUGGCGCAUGGAAGCUAAAUAUACUGUUAAUGGCAGUUGGUAAGUGGGAAUGGUCAAUUAUUUAUGGUUUGUUUUUGGUUUGCAAAAUAAUCAAAAUGUUAGUUUGACAGACGACAACAACAACAACUCGUUAUAUUUUGUUUCAAGACAUCUAGAAAAUAGAACAACUACAACAACAAUAGAAUAAUAGAAUCAUUUUGAUUUUGUUUGAUGAUACAAACUGGAGCAUAUUAUGAUCUGUUUGUUGGAUGAUUUUAACAUAAUGUUUUAACUGAAAAUUGUUUUAUGAAGCUGUGUGUUCACUGUUGGCACAUUGAAUGAUUGACAGCAUUGGAUAAAUAAUGCUCUAUUGGAUAAAUACGUAAAGUACCUUGGACAGCUGAGAUUGUGGUGUGGACAGCUGAGAUUGUGUUUUGGACAGCUGAGAUUGUGACUUGGACAGCUGAGAUUGUGGUGUGGACAGCUGAGAUUGGUGUGGACAGCUGAGAUUGUGGUGUUGACAUCUGAAAUUGUGAUUUGAAAAGCUGAGAUUGUGACUUGGACAGCUGAGAUUGUGCUGUGGACAGCUAAAAUUGUGGUGUGGAAUAAUGAUAUUGUGGUGUUGACAACAUAUUGUGGUGUGCACAUGUGAUAUUGUGGUGUGAUGGUUUAAAGUAGCAAAGGUAAAGAACGUUUGACAGCUUAGAUUGUGGUGUGGACAGCUGAUAUUGUGGUGUGGACAGCUGAGAUUGUCAUGUGGACUACUUAUAUUGUGGCUUGCAGAGCUGAUAUUGUGGUGUGAUGGUUUAAAGUACUAAAGAUUUAUUCCUUACUACCUUCCUGUCAACUAUAUCUUCCACAGCAUGAUUUAAUCUAGUCCCAAUCAUUGACUCUGGUUACCUCACCAGACGGUCCGUCCACAGAGUCACAAGCAACAGAUACUAAAACUCGGCAAAGUACAUG